rnacentral:tRNA from 1 species
GGGGCUGGGGCUCAGUGGUAGAGCGCUCGCCUAGCACAUGUGAGGCCCUGGGUUUGAUCCCCAGCACCA